rnacentral:rRNA from 1 species
AGCCCUGGAAACGGGGUCUAAUACCGGAUAACACUCUGUCCCGCAUGGGACGGGGUUAAAAGCUCCGGCGGUGAAGGAUGAGCCCGCGGCCUAUCAGCUUGUUGGUGGGGUAAUGGCCUACCAAGGCGACGACGGGUAGCCGGCCUGAGAGGGCGACCGGCCACACUGGGACUGAGACACGGCCCAGACUCCUACGGGAGGCAGCAGUGGGGAAUAUUGCACAAUGGGCGAAAGCCUGAUGCAGCGACGCCGCGUGAGGGAUGACGGCCUUCGGGUUGUAAACCUCUUUCAGCAGGGAAGAAGCGAAAGUGACGGUACCUGCAGAAGAAGCGCCGGCUAACUACGUGCCAGCAGCCGCGGUAAUACGUAGGGCGCAAGCGUUGUCCGGAAUUAUUGGGCGUAAAGAGCUCGUAGGCGGCUUGUCACGUCGGAUGUGAAAGCCCGGGGCUUAACCCCGGGUCUGCAUUCGAUACGGGCUAGCUAGAGUGUGGUAGGGGAGAUCGGAAUUCCUGGUGUAGCGGUGAAAUGCGCAGAUAUCAGGAGGAACACCGGUGGCGAAGGCGGAUCUCUGGGCCAUUACUGACG